AUACGUUUUGUUGCAGACUGCACUGCAGUAUAAGCCAUAAGCAACGAUAUUAUCUACAUUUCUAUUAUACGAAUGAUACUACGAUACCUAAGUUAUAACUUUAUAAGUUAUAAACUCAUAACUAGUUGCGAACGAAAGUUGAUACAUUUUUUAACUCGAAGAGUCUAUUUCAAAGCGUAUGCUGUACAACUAUCCAAAAUCUUACAGUAGAGUUAGUCGUCACUCGUCAGUGACUAGUAAAUAUUCACCAACAGCGACUAAUUAACUGUGUAAUAAUGAUUAGAUUAAAUCCCACAAGAAUAGAGCUCAGGAUUGAAGAUUUAAGCGAAUUUGCAGAUAUCAAAAAUCACUAUGAAACUAUUAAAAAAGCUAAAGAAGAAAAACAAAAAAAUCUUUAUGGUCCUCUUUUAAACAGUAACAUAAAAACCAAACAAGAAGUUGUACAAGAAAGAAUAGGAUUUAUCCCAAGGCCCAGACAUUCAUCGCAAUGAAGGACAUUAUUCUACUGUCUAGUUUUUUGUUAUUUUAAGUAUAUGUAUUUAUUUCUUUUAAACAUUUAAUAUAAAAUUUAUUAAAUAA